AACCGUGACACGGGGUGCCGUUGCAAACAGCCGGCUGAGAACAAACCCGUUGAACCUGAUCUAGUCAGUACUAGCGAAGGGAUGUCCGAGUGAAUUCUC
rfam:Cryobacterium sp. MLB-32 c106, whole genome shotgun sequence.